AUUGAACGCUGGCGGCAGGCCUAACACAUGCACGUCGCACGAGUGGCGGCCGGGUGAGUAAUGUCUGGGAAACUGCCUGAUGGAGGGGGAUAACUACUGGAAACGGUAGCUCAUACCGCAUACCAUCGGAUGUGCCCAGAUGGGAUUAGCUAGUAGGUGGGGUAAAGGCGCACCUAGGCGACGGUCCCUCGCUGGUGUGAGAGGAUGACCAUCCAAACGGGAACUGAGCCACGGUCCAGACUCCUACGGGAGCCAGCAGUGGGGAAUAUUGCACAAUGGGCGCAAGCCGGAUGCAGCCAUGCCGCGUGUAUGAAGAAGGCCUUCGGGUUGUAAAGUACUUUCAGCGGGGAGGCGUUACCCGCAGAAGAAGCACCGGCUAACUCCGUGCCAGCCGCCGCGGUAAUAC
rnacentral:rRNA from 1 species